GCGGGGGUGGCAGAAUCCGGUAUCGCGCUAGACUCGAAAUCUAGUGAGCUUCGGCUCUUCCGAGUUCAAAUCUCGGCCCCCGCG
rnacentral:tRNA from 2 species